rnacentral:rRNA from 1 species
CUUUGACAUACACAUAAGAGGUCUCGCCUGCCCAGUGACUAAAUGUUUAACGGCCGUGGUAUCUUAACCAUGCGAAGGUAGCGUAAUCAUUUGUCUUUUAAAUGAAGACCCGUAUGAAUGGCAAAACGAGGGCUUAACUGUCUCCCCUCCCCAGUCAAUGAAAUUGAUCUCCCCGUGCAGAAGCGAGGAUAAAAUUAUAAGACGAGAAGACCCUGUGGAGCUUUAGACUUAAAAUAACCCUGUAAAAUAAACUUUGAUACAAACACAAACUUAAGGAGUUUUAUUUAAAUGUCUUUGGUUGGGGUGACCACGGGGUAAAACAUAACCCCCACGAAGAUUGGGAACAUACUCCUAACACCAAGAGACACCCCUCUAAGCAACAAAAUUUUUGACUUUAAAAAUGAUCCGGCACAGCCGAUUAACGAACCCAGUUACCCCAGGGGAUAACAGCGCAAUCCCUUCCCAGAGCCCUUAUCGACGAAGGGGUUUACGACCUCGAUGUUGGAUCAGGACAUCCUAAUGGUGCAGCCGCUAUUAAGGGUUCGUUUGUUCAACGAUUAAAGUCCUACGUGAUCUGAGUUCA